GGGGAUGUAACUCAAAUGGUAGAUCGCUUGCUCUGCAUGCGAGAGGUACAAGGUUUGAUCCUUGCAUCUCCA
rnacentral:tRNA from 1 species